UACGGAAGAUCCAAGCGUUAUCCGGAUUUAUUGGGUUUAAAGGGAGCGUAGGCGGAAGUUCAAGUCAGUUGUGAAAGUCUGUGGCUUAACCAUAGAAUUGCAGUUGAAACUGAAUUUCUUGAGUGUAGAUAAGGAUGGUGGAAUUUGUGGUGUAGCGGUGAAAUGCAUAGAUAUCACGAAGAACUCCAAUUGCGAAGGCAGCCAUCCGGGCUACAACUGACGCUGAGGCUCGAAAGUGCGGGAAUCAAACAGG
rnacentral:rRNA from 1 species